rnacentral:misc_RNA from 1 species
AACGCACGAGACCUGCGGACCUGCGGAAGGAUCAUUACCGAGUUCUCGCCCCUCGCGGGGUAGACCUCCCACCCACUGUGAUCACUACCGUCGUUGCUUUGGCGGGCCGCUGGGCCCAGCCCACCGCCGGCUCCGGCUGGCGCGUGCCCGCCAGAGGCCCUACAAACGCUGGAUAUCAGUGCCGUCUGAGUACACAUGUUAAUCGUUAAAACUUUUAGCAACGGAUCUCUAGAUCGGAAG